UACAUUCUGGUGUAAAGUGCACAAGAAUUUUUGGUGUUCUUGGAAUUGGUGUAAGUCCAUUGUAUGUAA
rnacentral:tRNA from 1 species